rnacentral:lncRNA from 1 species
GAGUCUCUUUCACAUCUGUAGCAUUGCGGAGUUCUAAAAGCAUUUACAAACUUGUUUUAAGUGGUUAUAUUUUCAUUUGUUUGUGUUUGCAAAUCACUGAGAUGGAGUAAAAAAAUGGUCCAGCCUUUGAGUAGGGGUGGAAACGAGCCGAGCUCGAGCGAGCUUACCUCGGCUCAAAUUCGGUUUGAAAUUAAUUUCGAGCUUAAAUUUAAGCUCAAGCUUGGAUUGAAAUUAAUUCGAGCCGAGCUCGAGCGAGCCUAAUUUCGAAUCGAGCGAGCUCGAGCCCUAAACGAGCAGCUUGAAAUUCUCAACAUCAUACGAUCAAUAGUUUAAUUUGUAUAGAACAUUAUCUAUAAUUUGAUACAAAAAUAUGUCUAAUAGUUCUAAGCACAAAAUAAUUAUAUAAAAUAUAGUAUUAUAAUAUGAAAAUAAUAAUUUAUGAGUUAAAUAUCAAAUCUUUUCAGCCUCACAUGUCUUUUCUUCAGCCUUCAAUCUCCAUAUUAUUCAUUUUCAUUUAUGCAGUCAAAAAUAAAUAAAUUAUAUAGAUAAAUAUUGGAUUUGAACCUCCCAAUCAUAUAUAACAAAAAUUAAAUUUUAUAUGAAUAAUAAUUUUUAUUUAAAUAUUCUGUAUAUUUCUCAAGCAUAUAAUUAAUAGCAAGUAGGCAACGGCAGGCAUAUGCUUUAUUUGGUAACUUUGAGGCUUUUGUUGGCCUUAGAGUGAGAGACAGAAAAGAAAGAAGAAACAAAUUGAAAAUUUAGAUUCUGUGAAAGAAAGAAAGAAAGAAAAAUGUAUAAUUUAGUGAAAUUUUGCUCUUUAUUUGUCUUUUGACUUUGUUUUUAUGGCCAAUGUUAACUAAACUCAGAUUAUUCACUCAGCCUAUAUAAAUUAAAAUAUAUUAUAUUAUAUAUUUUUUAAUAUAUUAUAUAUAUAUAUAUAUAUAUAUAUAUAUAUAGUGUAGAAUUAUUAUGCUAUUGAAAAUAUAACGAUUUGAUGUUUUCGAAUUUUUGAUCCUUUGAUUAAGAAUUGUAUGAUGGGAUGAUUGGCGUCCCCCAGGAAUUAAAAUAUAUCCCUAUAUUAAUUCAAAGAAAUUAUUAAAGGCUUGAUCUAAGAAUCAAAAAAUUGAAAGCACCAUAUCCUUCCAUACUUUCAUAGCAUAGUAGCUUGACUAUAUAUAUAUAUAUAUAUAUAUAUUCGAGCUUUUCGAGCCUAAUUCGAACGAGCCGAGUAAUACUCAAGUUCGGCUUGAAAUGAAUUUCGAGUCUUGUUUUUUGUUCAAGCUCGGCUCAUUUAAUUUCGAAUCGAGCUCGAGCGAGCCAAAUAUCGAGUCGAACGCGAGCCGGCUCGCUCAUUUGCCAGCCCUACCUUUGAGAUCCAUGAGUUUGCGGUCGUUUGUAGUACUUGUUUGUAUGCAUAGCAUUACUCAAGAUCACCUCCUCUGAAGAUACCAUCAAGUUAUCAUGCUAAUUAAUUGGCUAAAGUGCACUUUUGGUCCUAAAACUGUGAGCAAACCACAUUUCGAUGUUCGAUAAUUUCUUAUGAUUUUGGUUUUGUUUUUUUUGUUGAAUGUUGUAAUUAAGUUUUGUAGAGCAAUUUAGUGACUCGCCGUGGUGAUGUGGUAACGUUGUUGUCGCUGAUAAUCUUAGGAAUGAUUAAAACAUGAUGUUAAUUAUAUGGUCAGUGAUAUUAUAAGGGAGUUUGGCCUAGCUUAGGGUUUAGAGAGUUUGAAGUCAAAAGUGUCUUUUAUUCAUUCAAAUUAAACAAAUUGGAAGUUUAAUUGGUAAAAUUAAAAUUUCGAAUGGUUAGAUAUUCUACUUAAAAUGGUACAUAGUUUAGAUAAUUCAUACACGUUUCUUUUCCUUUUGAAAAAACAUAACUUUGAAUUUUUUUGGGGCUUUUCAAAGUAUAGAAAUUGUGCAUUUGCUUCUUUGUUCGCUGGAGGGUUCGUUAAACUUAUAGUUGUGCCAAAUUGUUACGAUCUACACAAAUGAAUUUUCUUUUUAUAGAAAAAUAUAUAUAUAUAUAUUUUUUUUUUUGGCACUAUCUCAUUGCGUAUAAUAUUCUAUGCCCACAACUUCAAGCAAAGCCUAAAGUUGUUGGGGAAAAAAAAAAAGGUAUGAUUACUUCAAAUCGAUGUGAAGAUUGAUGUAAUGUUGUGUAUGUUAUGUUGCUCUCAUCUCGCAUACUUGUGGUUUACUCCACAUAUUGCUUGAUGUAAAAGAGAGAGUUCAAAAAAAAAAA